CACGUAGGGUGCGAGCGUUGUCCGGAAUUAUUGGGCGUAAAGAGCUCGUAGGCGGUCUGUCGCGUCUGCUGUGAAAACUCAGGGCUUAACCCUGAGCUUGCAGUGGGUACGGGCAGACUUGAGUUCGGUAGGGGAGACUGGAAUUCCUGGUGUAGCGGUGAAAUGCGCAGAUAUCAGGAGGAACACCGGUGGCGAAGGCGGGUCUCUGGGCCGAUACUGACGCUGAGGAGCGAAAGCGUGGGGAGCGAACAGG
rnacentral:rRNA from 1 species